rnacentral:rRNA from 1 species
GGAGCGUCGAUCGGCUAUGCAGUCUCGAAGUGAAAGACGGCGGCUCAUCCCCCCGACUGCUCUUGUACUGUAGACUAGAGUGCAGCAGGGGGUAAGUGGAAUCUAGUGUAGCGUGAGAUGACGUAGAUAUUAGAGGAAGCACCAGUGGCGAAGACGGCGUACUGGACUGUAACUGACGUUGAGGCUCGAAAGCGUGGGGAGCAAACAGGAUUAGAUACCCUGGUAGUCCACGCCGUAAACGAUGAUUACUAGGUGUCGGUGGGUCGAGACCCAUCGGUGCCGUCGCAAACGCAGUAAGUAAUCCACCUGGGGAGUACGUUCGCAAGAAUGAAACUUAAAGGAAUUGACGGGGACCCGCACAAGCGGUGGAGCAUGUGGUUUAAUUUGAAGCAACGCGAAGAACCUUACCUGGUCUUGACAUCCCGGUGAAUGCAGGGCAAUGCCUGCAGCCCUUCGGGGCACUGGAGACAGGUGGUGCAUGGUUGUCGUCAGCUCGUGUCGUGAGAUGUUGGGUUAAGUCCCGCAACGAGCGCAACCCUUAUCCUUAGUAGCCAGCGGUUAGGCCGGGCACUCUAGGGAGACUGCCGGGGGCAACCCGGAGGAAGGCGGGGAGGACAUCAAAUCAUCAUGCCCCUUAUGGCCAGGGGUACACACGUGCUACAAUGGCGCAAACAGAGGGAAGCGGACCGGUGACGGCGAGCGAAUCCCAAAAAAAAAGUCUCAGUUCGGAUUGUAGUUUGCAACUCGACUACAUGAAGCCGGAAUCGCUAGUAAUCGCGGAUCAGAAUGCCGCGGUGAAUACGUUCCCGGGUCUUGUACACACCGCCCGU